AGCGUAGGCCGUCAGGCAAGCGUGUUGUGAAAUGUCGUGGCUCAACCAUGGACUUGCAGCGCGAACUGCCCGACUUGAGUGCGCAGAAAGCAGGCGGAAUUUGUGGUGUAGCGGUGAAAUGCUUAGAUAUCACGAAGAACCCCGAUUGCGAAGGCAGCCUGCUGUAGCGCUACUGAGCUGAGCUCGAAAGUGCGGGUAUCGAACA
rnacentral:rRNA from 1 species